ACAAGUUAUUAGGCUACAUACUGUAUGCACAAGGUUAUUAGGCUACAUACUGUAGGCUACAAGGUUAUUAGGCUACAUACUGUAGGUUACAAGGUUAUUAGGCUACAUACUGUAGGUUACGAGGUUAUUAGGUUACAAGGUUAUUAGGCUACAUACUGUAGGUUACAAGGUUAUUCGUCUACAUACUGUAUGUUACAAAGUUAUUAGGCUAUGAGGUUAUUAGCAGUGGUGAGAAAAAGUACACAACUGUCCACCUGAGUAGAGGUAAAGGUACCCUAAUAGAAAAUGACUCAAACAGUGAAUAGUCACCCAGUGAAAUACUACUUCAGGAAAAGUCACCCAGUGAAAUACUACUUCACUACUUACUACUUAGAAGUCUGAAAGUAUUUGGUUUUAAAUAUUACUUAAGUAUUACAAAUAAAUAUAAUUGCUAAAAUAUACUGAAAGUAUCAAAAGUCAAAGUAAAAGUAUAAUCAUUUAAAUUCCUUAUAUAAAGCAAACCAGACGGAAUUCAUU
rnacentral:lncRNA from 1 species